AGUACUCUGAGAGUCGGUGUGAUGCCCUGGACGUGGCCUUUCCAGGAGGUUUACUUCUCAGAAUGACCUUGGUGUUCUCGUUUCCUGGGGAUGCCUUCAGAAAUGCAGCCAAGGAAGCAGCAUGGCGGGCAGUGUAGCUCUCCUGGCUGGAAGAAGUUGGACUUUUAGGGACGAGUGGCUGGGCCUGGCUUUAACAGGCUCUGACCCUAAUGACCCAGUGACAGCAAUGCAGGAAGAAAAGCAACCUCUAAAGUUACCGUGUGUAAAACAGAAGCGGCAAGGACAUCACACAGGAACCAACCAGCCCGGCAAUGGCUCCUCUCAUGCUUCUCCCCCACCAUGGCUUUCCGGCAGAGAGAAGGUAUGGAAUGGAAGGAUUCUGGAAUGCGGAUAAGUCUUGCUUUAUAAGCCAGCUCUAACAAGUCACCGGCCCUGAAUGUUUGCGAUUCUUUCCUGAUGAAGACCCUGCCUGUUGUCUCUGGAGUUAAAGGGAAGGAAUGUCAUGAUUAAUUAGCCAUGUUUGCCAUGGUCAGGAAAUGGGAAAUGACAGCCGACCUGCCAGAAAUGGACCAAUUCUAGGGCAAGAUGAUUGCUCUGCCUCCUGUGGCUAUCAAUCAAUCUUGCUCAACCCAGCCAUGUCUGCACUGCACAUUGUGCCAGUGAAAGGCAGAAGCCAAUGUGGAGCUGACUCGAUGCCAACGUUAAUGGUGCUUGCUGUGCUAGAGACCAGGUGUUUACUAAUCGAUUUUUCUUUUCCCCUGGGCAUGCUCAUGGAGCUGGACUGUAUUUUUCCAGCCCCACACCACUGAGUUUGUGCCAGAGACCAGAUUCCAUGGAUGCAAUGCAAGCUGAAGUGAUAGGAGUCCUUUCUGCUAGGUGCGGUAGAGCCUUCUUUGUGCAAAGCCAAAUUAUCUUCCUGACUUACUACCCUCUGCUCCCUCCUUCCCCUCCCCCUCUCUUCUCCCUCUUUGCUCCCUCCUUCUUCUCCUCUUCCUCCUUUUCUGGGUAGAUGCAUUGGGAGGUAUAGGCUAAUACUUGGCAUCUAUGGACACCAAUAAAAAUGACAUCUGAGGAGAUGGGGAGAUGGCUCACUCAGUAGGGUGCUGACCUUGCAAAAAGAAGGAGUUCUAGCUCCAAAAUCAUGUUAAAAAAAAAAAAAGCCGGCCGUACUUGGUACAUAAGUCACUCCAGGACUGGUGUAACCCUGGAGCUUGAUGGUCAGAAAUUUAGCUAACCAGGCAAGUUUCUGGCCAGUGAGUGAUGUUGUCACUUAAAAAGUACUUUAAGGGGCUGGAGAGAUGGCUCAGCGGUUAAGAGCAUUGCCUGCUCUUCCAAAGGUCCUGAGUUCAAUUCCCAGCAACCACAUGGUGGCUCACAACCAUCUGUAAUGAGGUCUGGUACCCUCUUCUGGCCUGU